UGUUUGGGUUGCGCUGGGUUGUGUGGGUUUAGAGGUGCUAAGUUGGGGGGUGGAAGGAUGAAUUUUGCCUCCAGAGCUCUGCUUUCUAUUCCUCGACUGCUAGUGUGCAAGACAGAGCUGAGAGGGCUUGGUUUCUCCUGCAGCCUUGCCAAGCCUCGCUGCCGCAGCGCAGCCUGCACAGUUGAACUGCAGGCAGUCCAGGCAUCGGCCAGUGGUCCCGGCCGGCCGGGCAUGAGGCUGCACAGGCUCUAGGAACAGUGGUCCCCGGCCGGGCAUGAGGCUGCACAGGCUCUAGGAACUUUUUUUUUUUUUUUUUUGGUUAUUUGAGACAGGACUUCUCUUUAUAGCCCUGGCUGCUCUAGGAACUUUUGGCAUAGCUGGCAUUUCUGCUCUGGCCGAAGCCACUGAGGACCCUUUGCCUGAAGCGACGGCUUGUCCUUCAGUAGGUCUCUGAAAGCCAUCAGGCAAUCAAUAGGACCAGAGGGGAAAAGUCAGAACAAGUCUAGAUUAGUCAUCACCUGCUUUUGCAAAAGCUGGCUGUGAUUUGGACUUCUCAGAUCAAUGCAGGCUUCUGCAGCCUCUUUCUAUGAGAGGCAGCAGGCUUCUCCAGACCAGAGACUCCCCUUAAGUUCUUCAGUAGAGAGAGUCCUGGGAGCCCAGGCAGGCCCUCUUGCUGAGGUGUGGCUUUUGUGCUAGCAGACCACACUGAGCCACUCAUGACAGACUGGCAGAGGGACAGAGAAGGCCCUUUGCCCUUGGUUCUCCAUGCCCCUUACUCUACAGGCCUGUCCCGUCUCCCCUCAGAUGGCCUGCCUGUUCUCUGCAGUCAGCAAGAGGCAGCCUCACUUUCUUGGAGAAUUCUCUCAGCCCAGACCUUCUGCAAGUCAUUGUGAGGGAGCCUUUUUUUUUUUCCCUUGAGCAGCAAUUAAUCACCUCCCCUCCCACUUUUUUCCACCAGAGGAAUUCAUCAACACUGAUUGCCAAGAACAUGAUUUGUGGUAUCAGUAAUGGCGGGUAUCUCCCAUUUGAUGCCUGUGCUAAUAGUCAAACUGUGCCAGAUCUCAGCAGCUCUCGGCCCUGGCCUGUGGAGUGAGGACAGCCCUUUCCACCCCAGGCCAUUCUGGAUUCCACCAUUUGUCUCUGAGGUGGAAGAACAGGACACAAGACUGUGGUGAGUCACACUCUGGCUUCCAGUGUUUCUUUUGGAAGUGACAUGUGCCAUUUGUGCCAUUUCAUUGCCAAAGCAAGUCACUUGGCCACACCUCAUUCCAUAUACAGCCCCGAAAGCCAGUCUUUCUACGCAGGCCUGAAUCGAGAGGCAAGCCUGCAGCCUACAGUACCUGUUGCAGGAGCUUGGCUGAGAUGCUCAUUGAGGAUCGUCUUCAUUGUGUCUUCCAAAUGAAUCAAGUGCUGUUUAUAGACCCACUUACCAGAUGGGGAAAUGGAGGUGAGAAAGAGCAGAGCCAGACUUGAUACCUCCUGAGGAGAGCAAACCUGGGCUGAGGCUUCUUGCUUUCGCCCUGGUACCAUUUCUUUGCAGCCACAAUGUCCCUAGUCCCUAUAGGAGGUGGUUUUAGAGAUGCUAAUUAACUGCUCCUGACUUAAAUAAAAAUAAAACUGUCCUAUUCCCUUUAAGAUAAUGGAGCAUCUUGUAUGUAGCCUUAACCACAAAGAGCAUAAAUGAAAUUUUUGUCAAUAGAAUAUUCUUCCCUGUGUUUUGUUUCUGCAGCUUCAGCAGAAAGAGAGAGAGAGAGAGAGAAAAAAAAGGUGCCCUUUGAAGGUUCUUUGCCUUCAAAGGAAGGCAAGUCGGAAGUCGGAGUAUUUACAAAAGCCUUUGGGCUGCUUCUUCCCCAGCACAGGAACCAAGCAGCAACCUAACAACUGUGCAAAAGGAUCAAGUCAAGUAGAGCAGCCUCUGGCCUCACCGUGGUCCUCACUGUCGCCCCUGACCCGGGUCAUCAGUGUGUGUGUUCCCACUGUUGAUGCAAGCACCAUCUGUUAAGAGUACCCCAGAUUUGCACAUUUACGUGACAGACCUCCAUUCUGCCCUUGCCCCACUUUCUACACCAGGGCAGGGCAGGGCAGCCUGGUGGCUGCUGCUUGCCUAGCCCGUGAGGGAAGACAGGAGAGCACCCAGGUCCCCCCUCCCCGCCUGUGCUUUAAUGACUGCAGUGGGGAAACAGAAUGUCUAACAUUAACAGAGUCAGGAAGUAAGUUCUGCAUUGACAUAGUUGCAACUCUUUUUGUAUUUUCCGAACUUGGGCUGAUUUGAAGCCUGCAGGAUGAGGACACAGGAUCUAGAAGUGCACGAAGGGGUGACAGGCCAACAAUAAAACCAACCACAUAGGAACAACUGGAAGGGAGUCCGGAAAGAGGGAAGCAGAAGCCUGCAGGAUGAGGAGUGAUUUCUGCUCUUGUACAUUUGCAGGAGUCCUGAUUCUUUCAAAUAAACACUCAUUUCACCAAAACAAACAGAACUCAACAGGAGGAACUGAAGUCUUUGUUGCUUGUAAUAAUAUUGCAUCUUUGGGGGCUUUUUCGGAUCUGAAUACAUGUUUGCAGUUCUUCGGAGCCCUGGUUUCCAGCAUGGGGAACUGCUCGUCUUUAGAACUCUGGAUGCAAUGGCAGACCUCAUUUUGUAGGCUACUGGGAAGCGAUACGACCUGGACUCUUAAAUCAAUUAAUCAUGGUUUUUAGUGUUUGUCGAUAAAUUUUUUUUUCUUUUCUAUUUUUUUAAAAUGUAUCUAGAGAACUUGCCACAUUUAUGUAUCGUAUUGGGGGCCAUGCCUAUGCCUAGCACAUGUGUGGAGAUUAGAGGACAGCUUGUCAAUACUGCUUCUCUAUCAUGUGGGUCGUAGGGAUGGAGCGCAGGCAGUCAGGUGAGGCAGCUAAUGCCUUUACCUCCCUGAGCCAUCUUGCUGACCUGCUUCUCUUUAUAAAACAAAGCCACAUAAUUAUGCAUGUUUAGGAGGGACACUGAUACAGAGUAUAUAAUGUUUAAAUCAGGACAGUUAGCAUUUUCACUUCAAGUACCCAUAGCUUUUAAUCUGAUAUAAAAGUGAUACAUAAUUUCAGGGUCCCUUGUGAUGCUUUGAAAUGUGGUCUGGAUAAGGAGACCAACCUCUCCCAAGGUUGAUCAUGAUCAUGACUUUAUGCUGAACUACUUCAGAGCUCUGUUGCUUUGUUGAAGAAGUGCACAUCCCAAUAUUAUCUGUUUGUACUACUGUGGAAAAUGUCAGGGGAAUUCGUUCUUGUGCUCCAUUACUGCUGGAAUUUUUAGUUUUUAAUUGUGUGCAUGUGUGUGCGCACACACACACACACAUACACACACACACACACACACAUGUACACAAGCACGCAUGCACACACACAUAUGAGAAGGAGAGGGAUAGGGAGAGGGAAAGGACUCUUGUCCUCUCCUCUUAACUGCAGAGCCACCUUUCCAGCCCCAGUUACCUCUAAUUUUAUAGACAACAUUCUCCCUUUGGGCAGCCAGGCUUCUCUGGUUAUAGCAGCAGACUCUGGUCUGUUUGGAGAUGGGUGGGGCUGCUCUCCAAAUCAAAGGAAAAGUUGAACAGUGCAUCAUGCAAAUAGCUACUGAGAGCCUGGUCAUAAGAGCGAGAGAAGAGUCUGAGAGGCUUUCCAUUUUGUGCUGUCACUUGGCCACUCAGAAGCCGCACAGAUCAGAGUCUUAAUUGGUCAAGCUUGGGUCACCUCAUUGGAAAGAAUGAUGCAUACAGCAAGGCCAGAUGCCCACUGAGUUCUACAGUCAGUGGCAUCGGACCCCACCCAUCUUCACCAGCUUGCCAGGAUUUCUUGGCUGUUAAGGAAGUUAUUUUUCACCUUUACAUUUCUGGCUAAUUUCUGUGAAUAUAUUCUUGAAAUAAUUUUUCUUCCUUUUGAGAUACGAUCUUGUUUGUAGCCCAGGCUAGAUUUGAAUUGUAGACGCUCUUGCUUCAACCUGUGGGGUGCAGGAACUGCACAGGUAUGGCACUUCACUCAGCCUCUCUGUACCUUUUCACUUUUGUGUCUUAAUUAUAGUCCAUGUCUGUACCCUGGAUGAUUGCAGUGACCCCUGAUCUAAUCUUGCCUUUCGGUGAUUCUUCCUGACUUUUCGCUGUACUCUUGACUACAGAUAUGGAGGAAUAUAACUUUUCUUCUGUAUUAAGUUUUCCUUUGGAGUUUUCCUAGGAUUGUAGAAAAUUCUGUGUACCACUCAUUUGUCUUAGAAAUUGUCCUGGUUAGUUUUGUUCUUUCUUUCCUUGAUACAAGGAAGGGUCAUUUGGGAAGUGAGCACCUCAAAUGCGCAACUUGCCCCCAUCAGAUUGUCUGGUAGGCAAAUCUCUGGGAUGUUUUCCUGACUCGUGAUUGAUGUGGGAGGGCCCAGGCCACUAUGAGCAGGGUGCCCCUCCAGGCUUGUGUAAGAAAGCAGACUAAGCAAGCUAUAGAGAAUAAGCCAGCAAGCAGCAUCCCUCAGGACCUCUGCUUCAGCUCUUGCCCCAGCUUCCCUCAGGAUGGAGGGUGGCCUGAGAGCUGUCAGCUGAAAUAAAUUCUUCCUUCUUCAAUUUGCUUUCUGCCCUGGUGUUUUGUCACAGCAAUAGAAAACAAACCAAGAUAUAGGCUGACACCCUGUAGUUUGACUGAGGAUUCCAAUAGGUUUUACAGUCAUAAAAGCCCGGGUGUGUGGAUCUCUAUGAAUGCUUUUGGUUAGAGUAAUGACCACCAGCAUUACCCAGUUAAAAAACAAAAAACAAAGACUUUACUUUCUUGAGUAAAAAUGUAUUUUAAUUGAUUGAAAACCACAUUAUUUAUUAGGAACCCUGUGAAGUCUCAGCCCACUGCAUACUUGCAUAAUGUACAAAUAGCUAUAAAGGAAUGCCAUUUCAGAUGAUGGGACAUCCAGAGGUGGGCCAGGCGUUCAGGUACAUUAUGAUCUGGGGCUCCUGUCAUCUUCCUGUUUCCUUUGCUUUGUCUUUAUUGGUAUCUUGACCUCUUGGGCAUUUUCCAUGGUAAAAAUACGGUCGUUGUGUGCUGUGAGGAAGAAUGUCGUGACAUUUGCAGUGACGGAGAUGACACUGGAAGUAAUCCUGUCCAUGAGCACUGAGCCCCGUGGUUCCUCUAGGGGCCAGCGGCUGUACAUGCUUGUGGAGAUCAGGGCUUAUGAGCCUGCGUCCUGAUAAUAUCAUUCAUCAUGUUUUGCCAGACUCAGAAACACAAAUGUCCUGCUUUCUCUCAUAUGAAGAAUCUGUGUUUACAUAGCUAUAUGAUAUAUGCAUAUAUAUCUAAGCCACAGAAGUAAAUAGAUCGGGUAUUGGAGAGGGGAGGAAGAUGUCAACAUGAGUGGGGAAGGGGGUACCAAGAGAGGGAAGUGGAACAUGCAUGACAUGAAGUCACUGGGGGGACUUGGAUGGGACGGGUAAGGGGUGGGCACUGUGUGUGGGUAAAUAUAAAAAACCAUGAUGAUAUAAAUGUGUGAAAAUGCUAUGAUGUUUGCUCAGGAAGCUAAUAUAAACUAAGGUUGCUUGCAAAACAAAGGUGAUUUGCCUCCAUAUUCCUAGCUCACAGAGACAGAAAGGAACAUUCCAGAAGGUCUUGCUCAUGAGAUAAGAGUCCUUUCAUCUAGUCUAAGCCAGUGCAUUUCACAUAGUUACGCUUGACCUUUAACAUGUACAGGAGGGUGGGAAUAUGGUAGAUGGAUGAGGCUCCAGCCCGUAUCCCUGAUCUGCUUCUGACUGUCAGGGACAGAAGGCACAGAUCCGUUGGGAUCUUUUUCCUAAUCCGGAGAGAAGGGGUGUCCUCUGAGUCAAGAGACUGACUGCGAUAGUAGGAUGAGUGCUUUAUUGGAAUCAGAGCUCAUCGGGAAGGAAGACCAGGAGCAGAGGUGGCGUCUCAGACAGGAAAGUGCCUGCUCUGUGAGCAUAAGAACCUGAGUUUGGCUCCUGGGAAGCCAUGGUAAAAACAACAACCAAGCAAUCAAGCAGCCAACCAAUCAAAACAAGCAGAACACAAGGUGCUAGCGUGCUCUCAUAAUGGAAGCACUGAAUGGGGUGGGAUGGAGCUGGUCUGGCUGAGAUGAUGAGCUUCAGGCUCAGCGAGAGACUCUGUCUCUAAAAAUAACUGCGGAGAACUCCAGACACUGACUUGUAGCAUUCACAGGCACCUACACACAUGUGUGCAUGUGCUCCCACACUAACAAGUAUAUGUCAGUCACCUAUACACACCACACACACACACACACACACACACACACACACACACACACACAGA